rnacentral:rRNA from 1 species
AGCUAGCGGCGGACGGGUGAGUAAUGCUUAGGAAUCUGCCUGGUAGUGGGGGAUAACGUUCGGAAACGGACGCUAAUACCGCAUACGUCCUACGGGAGAAAGCAGGGGACCUUCGGGCCUUGCGCUAUCAGAUGAGCCUAGGUCGGAUUAGCUAGUUGGUGGGGUAAUGGCUCACCAAGGCGACGAUCCGUAACUGGUCUGAGAGGAUGAUCAGUCACACUGGAACUGAGACACGGUCCAGACUCCUACGGGAGGCAGCAGUGGGGAAUAUUG